UGGGGAAUAUUGCACAAUGGGCGCAAGCCUGAUGCAGCCAUGCCGCGUGUAUGAAGAAGGCCUUCGGGUUGUAAAGUACUUUCAGUCGGGAGGAAGGUGGUAAGGUUAAUAACCUUAUCAAUUGACGUUACCGACAGAAGAAGCACCGGCUAACUCCGUGCCAGCAGCCGCGGUAAUACGGAGGGUGCAAGCGUUAAUCGGAAUUACUGGGCGUAAAGCGCACGCAGGCGGUUGAUUGAGUCAGAUGUGAAAUCCCGGGCUUAACCCGGGAAUUGCAUCUGAUACUGGUCAGCUAGAGUCUUGUAGAGGGGGGUAGAAUUCCAUGUGUAGCGGUGAAAUGCGUAGAGAUGUGGAGGAAUACCGGUGGCGAAGGCGGCCCCCUGGACAAAGACUGACGCUCAGGUGCGAAAGCGUGGGGAGCAAACAGG
rnacentral:rRNA from 1 species